AUAUGCUUUAAUAUUGGCUGAUUUGUUUAUCGAAUUUUGAAGAUUUCCUUUGGAAAUAGUGUUAUAUGAAUGCUAUUAUAAAUUGAAUUCCCUCUAAGUAAUCAGGGAGAACGUACUGAUCAAACUAUGUACCAAAUUGUGAAGCAUACUUAUAUUAUCAUGCCUAUGGAUUCAUCACAACUCAUAGGAGACUUAUUAAGAUAUAUUUUGAGAUAGUUUGAACAGUCCAUAAUGAAUUGAAUCAACAUGAAAUUAUUGAUCGGAGAUUGAAGCUGUGAUCAAAGUCAAUAUUCACUUAUUUAAUGAAAUUUAUGAUGCAGAUGGGCAAUAUUCUAUCUCUCCUCCAAAACAUUCUUCAAUGGCACUGUCAUGGUUACCAUCUUGAUUUUCGGUUUCUUAUUUUUUAACAUGGCCAUUCAACACUGGAUUUUCCUCAUUGAGCAUGAAGAUGUAGCUGAUUAUUUGUCAGCCAAUGAAAAUAAAGUAUAUGAAAAGGAAUUAUUAAUAGCCAAUGAAAAUAAAGUAUAUUAAAAGGAA
rnacentral:lncRNA from 1 species